GCGUUAUGGGCUGGGCGCAGCCUGAUCAGCAAUGCCGCGUGAGUGAAGAAGGCCUUCGGGUUGUAAAGCUCUUUCAGUUGAGAAGAAAAAAAUGUGACUAAUAAUCACAAUUGAUGACGGUAUCAACAGAAGAAGCACCGGCUAACUACGUGCCAGCAGCCGCGGUAAUA
rnacentral:rRNA from 1 species